AGUGAACGCUGGCGGUAGGCCUAACACAUGCAAGUCGAACGGCAGCACAGUAAGAGCUUGCUCUUACGGGUGGCGAGUGGCGGACGGGUGAGGAAUACAUCGGAAUCUACUUUUUCGUGGGGGAUAACGUAGGGAAACUUACGCUAAUACCGCAUACGACCUACGGGUGAAAGCAGGGGAUCUUCGGACCUUGCGCGAUUGAAUGAGCCGAUGUCGGAUUAGCUAGUUGGCGGGGUAAAGGCCCACCAAGGCGACGAUCCGUAGCUGGUCUGAGAGGAUGAUCAGCCACACUGGAACUGAGACACGGUCCAGACCCCUACGGGAGGCAGCAGUGGGGAAUAUUGGGCAAUGGGCGCAAGCCUGAUCCAGCCAUACCGCGUGGGUGAAGAAGGCCUUCGGGUUGUAAAGCCCUUUUGUUGGGAAAGAAAAGCAGCAGGUUAAUACCCCGCUGUUCUGACGGUACCCAAAGAAUAAGCACCGGCUAACUUCGUG
rnacentral:rRNA from 1 species